GUAGGGAAUCUUCGGCAAUGGACGAAAGUCUGACCGAGCAACGCCGCGUGAGUGAAGAAGGUUUUCGGAUCGUAAAACUCUGUUGGUAGAGAAGAACGUUGGUGAGAGUGGAAAGCUCAUCAAGUGACGGUAACUACCCAGAAAGGGACGGCUAACUACGUGCCAC
rnacentral:rRNA from 1 species